rnacentral:rRNA from 1 species
CCAGCAGCUGCGGUAAUUCCAGCUCCAAUAGCGUAUAUUAAAGUUGUUGCAGUUAAAACGCUCGUAGUCUGGUGUGGUGUGGGGAGGGGGUGGAUGUUGUGAAAUAUUCUCCCCCACCCCGCAUGUUCUGACAGCAAUGUCGGGGUUACUUUGAGGAAAUUAGAGCGUUCAAGGCAGGCUAUCGCCCUGAAUACACAAGCUUGGAAUAAUGAAAUAGGACUUUUUCCAUUUUAUUGGUUAUUGGAGAGAGUAAUGAUUAAUAGGGACAGUUGGGGGCAUUAGUAUUUCGUUGUCAGAGGUGAAAUUCUUGGAUUUACGAAAGACUAACUUAUGCGAAAGCAUUUGCCAAGGAUGUUUUCA